GACGAACGCUGGCGGCGUGCUUAACACAUGCAAGUCGAGCGGUAAGGCCCUUUCGGGGGUACGACGAGCGGCGAACGGGUGAGUAACACGUGGGUGACCUGCCCUCAGCUCUGGGAUAAGCCUGGGAAACCGGGUCUAAUACUGGAUAUGACUCCAUGACGCAUGUUGGUGGGGUGGAAAGCCUUGUGCGGCUGAGGAUGGGCCCGCGGCCUAUCAGCUUGUUGGUGGGGUGAGGCCUACCAAGGCGACGACGGGUAGCCGGCCUGAGAGGGCGACCGGCCACACUGGGACUGAGACACGGCCCAGACUCCUACGGGAGGCAGCAGUGGGGAAUCUUGCGCAAUGGGCGAAAGCCUGACGCAGCGACGCCGCGUGAGGGAUGACGGCC
rnacentral:rRNA from 1 species